rnacentral:rRNA from 1 species
UACAGAGGGGGCAAGCGUUGUUCGGAAUUACUGGGCGUAAAGGGCGCGUAGGCGGCCUGCUAAGUCGAACGUGAAAUCCCCAGGCUUAACCUGGGAACUGCGUCGGAUACUGGAUGGCUUGAAUUCGGGAGAGGGAUGCAGAAUUCCAGGUGUAGCGGUGAAAUGCGUAGAUAUCUGGAGGAAUACCGGUGGCGAAGGCGGCAUCCUGGACCGACAUUGACGCUGAUGAGCGAAAGCUAGGGGAGCAAACGGG